ncrna:unclassified sequences DTF805b RNA
AAGGCGAAAACCCGAAAAGCCUGUAAAAGAGUAGGGG